UACGUAGGGUGCAAGCGUUGUCCGGAAUUACUGGGCGUAAAGAGCUCGUAGGCGGUUUGUCGCGUCGUCUGUGAAAACUCGAGGCUCAACCUCGAGCUUGCAGGCGAUACGGGCAGACUUGAGUACUGCAGGGGAGACUGGAAUUCCUGGUGUAGCGGUGAAAUGCGCAGAUAUCAGGAGGAACACCGGUGGCGAAGGCGGAUCUCUGGGCCAUUACUGACGCUGAGGAGCGAAAGCGUGGGGAGCGAACAGG
rnacentral:rRNA from 1 species